UCCGUAGGUGAACCUGCGGAAGGAUCAUUACAGAAAUAGGAGAAGGUUGCUUAACUGCAAUCCUUUUCUUUCUACACAUGUGUUUUUCUUUUUUUUGAAAACUUUGCUUUGGUGGGCCCACGGCCUGCCAGAGAUUAAACUCAACCAAAUUUUUAUUUAAUUGUCAACUUGAUUAACUAAUAGUUAAAACUUUCAACAACGGAUCUCUUGGUUCCAGCAUCGAUGAAGAACGUCGCGAAAUACGAUAAGUAAUGUGAAUUGCAGAAUUCAGUGAAUCAUCGAGUCUUUGAACGCACAUUGCGCCCGCCGGCAUUCCGGCGGGCAUGCCUGUUCGAGCGUCAUUUCAACCAUUAAGCACCAGUCUGCUUAGCGUUGGGACCUUGCGGGGAACCGCAACUCCCCAAAACCAUCGGCGGGGCCGGGAUGGCUUCAGGCAUAGUAGAUCUCUUCUCGCCUCCACAGACAUCCCCGUGCCACGGCCGCGAACCGAGCUCGGGUGGCUUCACGCCGCCCGUCCUCACUUUUUUCUUGGUUGACCUCGGAUCAGGUAGGAAUACCCGCUGAACUUAAGCAUAUCAAUAAGCGGAGGA
rnacentral:rRNA from 1 species